UUCCAGACUUUGAUCAUGGCUCAGGAUGAACGCUAGCUACAGGCUUAACACAUGCAAGUCGAGGGGAAACGACAUCGAAAGCUUGCUUUUGAUGGGCGUCGACCGGCGCACGGGUGAGUAACGCGUAUCCAACCUGCCCAUCACUUGGGGAUAACCUUGCGAAAGUAAGACUAAUACCCAAUGAUAUCUCUAGAAGACAUCUGAAAGAGAUUAAAGAUUUAUCGGUGAUGGAUGGGGAUGCGUCUGAUUAGCUUGUUGGCGGGGUAACGGCCCACCAAGGCGACGAUCAGUAGGGGUUCUGAGAGGAAGGUCCCCCACAUUGGAACUGAGACACGGUCCAAACUCCUACGGGAGGCAGCAGUGAGGAAUAUUGGUCAAUGGACGAGAGUCUGAACCAGCCAAGUAGCGUGCAGGAUGACGGCCCUAUGGGUUGUAAACUGCUUUUAUAAGGGAAUAAAGUGAGUCUCGUGAGACUUUUUGCAUGUACCUUAUGAAUAAGGACCGGCUAAUUCCGUGCCAGCAGCCGCGGUAAUACGGAAGGUCCGGGCGUUAUCCGGAUUUAUUGGGUUUAAAGGGAGCGUAGGCCGGAGAUUAAGCGUGUUGUGAAAUGUAGACGCUCAACGUCUGCACUGCAGCGCGAACUGGUUUCCUUGAGUACGCACAAAGUGGGCGGAAUUCGUGGUGUAGCGGUGAAAUGCUUAGAUGUCACGAAGAACUCCGAUUGCGAAGGCAGCUCACUGGAGCGCAACUGACGCUGAAGCUCGAAAGUGCGGGUAUCGAACAGGAUUAGAUACCCUGGUAGUCCGCACGGUAAACGAUGGAUGCCCGCUGUUGGUCUGAAUAGGUCAGCGGCCAAGCGAAAGCAUUAAGCAUCCCACCUGGGGAGUACGCCGGCAACGGUGCAACUCAAAUGAAUUGACGGA
rnacentral:rRNA from 1 species